rnacentral:rRNA from 1 species
GAUGAACGCUGGCGGCGUGCCUAAUACAUGCAAGUCGAGCGAACGGACGAGAAGCUUGCUUCUCUGAUGUUAGCGGCGGACGGGUGAGUAACACGUGGAUAACCUACCUAUAAGACUGGGAUAACUUCGGGAAACCGGAGCUAAUACCGGAUAAUAUUUUGAACCGCAUGGUUCAAAAGUAAAAGACGGUCUUGCUGUCACUUAUAGAUGGAUCCGCGCUGCAUUAGCUAGUUGGUAAGGUAACGGCUUACCAAGGCAACGAUGCAUAGCCGACCUGAGAGGGUGAGCGGCCACACUGGAACAGUGACACAGUCCAGACUCCUACGGGAGGCAGCAGUAGGGAGUCUUCCGCAAUAGGCGAAAGCCUGACGGGGCAACGCCGCGUGAGUGAUGAAGGUCUUCGGAGCGUAAAACUCUGUUAUUAGGGAGGAACAUAUGUGUAAGUAACUGUGCGCAUCUUGACGGGGCCUAAUCAGAAAGCCACGGCUAACUACGUG